CCUACGGGUGGCAGCAGUGGGGAAUAUUGGGCAAUGGGCGCAAGCCUGACCCAGCAAUGCCGCGUGAAGGAAGAAGGCUUUCGGGUUGUAAACUUCUUUGACAGGGGAAGAGCAGAAGACGGUACCCGGAGAAAAAGCAUCGGCUAACUCCGUGCCAGCAGCCGCGGUAAUACGGAGGAUGCGAGCGUUAGCCGGAUUUAUUGGGUUUAAAGGGUGCGUAGGCGGAUCGUUAAGUCAGUGGUCAAGUUGAGGGGCUAAACCCCAUCCCGCCAGUGAAACUGGCGCUCUUGAGUGGAAGAGAAGUAUGCGGAAUGCGUGGUGUAGCGGUGAAAUGCAUAGAUAUCACGCAGAACCCCUAUUGCGAAGGCAGCAUGACGGCUUCCGACUGACGCUGCCGCACGAAAGCGUGGGGAUCGAACAGGAUUAGAUACCCCAGUAGUC
rnacentral:rRNA from 1 species